rnacentral:sRNA from 1 species
AGGAACCUUUUUAAUUCCUGUUGUAGGAUUAACCACAAUGAACGGUUGGAAUUCCUGGGUGAUGCUGUUGUUGAAUUUCUAACCAGCGUCCAUUUGUACUAUUUGUUUCCUAGUCUGGAAGAAGGAGGAUUAGCAACCUAUCGGACUGCCAUUGUUCAGAAUCAGCACCUUGCCAUGCUAGCAAAGAAACUUGAACUGGAUCGAUUUAUGCUGUAUGCUCACGGGCCUGACCUUUGUAGAGAAUCGGACCUUCGACAUGCAAUGGCCAAUUGUUUUGAAGCAUUAAUAGGAGCUGUUUACUUGGAGGGAAGCCUGGAGGAAGCCAAGCAGUUAUUUGGACGCUUGCUCUUUAAUGAUCCGGACCUGCGCGAAGUCUGGCUCAAUUAUCCUCUCCACCCACUCCAACUACAAGAGCCAAAUACUGAUCGACAACUUAUUGAAACUUCUCCGGUUCUACAAAAACUUACUGAGUUUGAAGAAGCAAUUGGAGUAAUUUUUACUCAUGUUCGACUUCUGGCAAGGGCAUUCACAUUGAGAACUGUGGGAUUUAACCAUCUGACCCUAGGCCACAAUCAGAGAAUGGAAUUCCUAGGUGACUCCAUAAUGCAACUGGUAGC